UACGUAGGGUGCAAGCGUUGUCCGGAAUUAUUGGGCGUAAAGAGCUUGUAGGCGGUUUGUCGCGUCUGCUGUGAAUUUCGGGGCUCAACCCCGAACUUGCAGUGGGUACGGGCAGACUAGAGUGUGGUAGGGGAGACUGGAAUUCCUGGUGUAGCGGUGAAAUGCGCAGAUAUCAGGAGGAACACCUAUGGCGAAGGCAGCUCGCUGGGACGGUACUGACGCUGAGGCGCGAAAGUGUGGGGAGCGAACAGG
rnacentral:rRNA from 1 species